GCGUCCUUAGCUCAGUGGCAGAGCGCUCCCUUCACACGGGAGAGGUCGAAGGUUCAAUCCCUUCAGGACGCA
rnacentral:tRNA from 1 species